UGCAGCCACCUCGAAGUCAGCACCUGUCCCAUCGCAGCCGGUGCCGGCCCAAGGCUGCAGCAGAAACACUGACUCGGGGAUAAGUGGGCACAGACACCC
rnacentral:snoRNA from 1 species